AUUUCCACCGCUUGUUUAAACUAAUAGUAAUAAAAGCAAGUGUUUGAUAUUAAUUUGAGUCACAAAAUGCCAUCUCAUCUUUUUGCUGGUAAAUCUACCGAAUAGUGUCAGAAAUGCAAAACUGCACUCUUUUAUUAAGCGUCACAAUUCUGUCAAGAAGCAAUGCGUUUCUUAUGAAAACAACGCGCGGGAGACUGACAGUUUUAUUGAUUUUUGAAACUUCACACGGUUAAGAAGACAUUUGAAAUCAUGUACAAUAUGAAAGAAUUACUUUAUUUUACUUUUUUUAUCUAUACUGCAAUCCAACAUUUUCAAUACAUUAAAUCCCCACUAACGCCGAAGGUUAUUUCUAAAGGGUUUUUUGUUUUGAAUAUGAAUUCUUCCAUGUACUGCUAGCCGCUUUAAUGUUGAUUUGACGGUGGUGAUUUUUCAUACAUAUUUUCCACGUAUGGAUGGAUAUCUAACUGUUUUAAAUUUGAUUAAUUCCCUUAAUCCACACUACUUCUAUAAAGUCAUUGUGUAUUCUCGUGGCCAAGAUCACCUUGUGAGAGAGAAUAUAUUUAAAGCGGUUCUGUUUCAAUCCGUUAAAAGGUCGAAACUACUAGUCAAUAUGAUUCGGACGAAUCCAGUGUUUCAUUGUAAAUUGUUUCAUAAUAUCAUCGAGGGUAACAUAUUUCUGUUCUUAAUAUAUCUGAAAAUGAGUUGUGUAUUUGUAUUUCUGAACAAAAACUGACGUCCUGAUAAUUGUUUGCAUACCUCUUGUAUCUUUAAUUGAUAUAUUUUAUGUUUAUUUAUCUUACAAACGUAAUUGGCAGAAAUCUAGACUGAAGUGCUAUAUUGCUCAUCGGAAAAUAAUGUUGUAACUACUUUAGAUGAGAAUAAUGUGUCACUGUAAGUUUCUGUUACUUAAUGUAGAUAUAUUUGGAAUAACAACCUUCUAAACGUUUAGUUUGGAAAUGCGUAGAAGGAAAUUAAUGAUUUUAUAUUUUGCUGUGGUAACUUUAAAAUUACUUUUAGGAACACUAAGCAAUUCAACUGAUGAUUUAAAACGAGAAACAAGGACUGGAACUACUAUACAG